rnacentral:RNase_P_RNA from 1 species
AGAGCAAAUUAAAUAGUCGCGUAUAGCAUGGUCGAAAGGCAGCGUACGAGGAAAGUCCGGGCUCCACAGAGCAAUGAUGCAGGAUAACGUCCUGUGAGGGAAACCUUAAGGAAAGUGCAACAGAAAAUAACCGCCACAUAUUUUUAGAUGCUUUUGGGGGUGACUCCAAAAGCAUCUUGUGUGGUAAGGAUGAAAAGGCGAGGUAAGAGCUCACCGCUAAUAUGGUGACAUAUUGGGUCAGUGUAAACCCCAUCUGGAGCAACACCGGGACUAGAAGGAUAAGACUGCUCGUCAUCUUCUUAAUCUGGUGGCUUGAGACAUAUAGUAAUAUAUGUACUAGAUAAAUGACUAUUCACGACAGAACCCGGCUUACAGAUUUGCUUUUAUA